UCCAGCCAUUGUUUAUUAUCAAAUGGUACAUGAAAAAAAUAAUAAAUUAUAUUUUUUGUUUUCUUGUCAGAGAGAAGCUGGAGAAGAGAUACGUGGUGUCUCAGUUUCCUGUUUCAUGUAGUGGGGUUGCCAGAGUGAGCCCUUCCAGUCAUAUCGGAUCCCUGACACGCGCACACUCUGGAAGUGAGCUACGGGUAGACGUUGAGAACAACUCGUUGCCCAUUCCACGGGACAGCAGUUGCUCCUCAGGCUAUUCCAGUGCUCCUUCCAGUCCAAUGACCCCUUUAUCACGUGACACUUCCUUCGACCGGGUUAAAGACCCUCACAGACGUUUAGAGUCUGGUUUGGAUCCUUGUGAGAAAGAGCGGUCAUGCUUUCUCCUCAAUCCUGUGGUAUCCACCGGUCCCAGCCGUCCCACUGCCCAAGUCCUACCGGUCCAGAACGAUCCCUCCCUCUGUCCCUCCCAAAUGAGUUUGCCUCCACCAUCCUUGCCCCUCCCCUCCCCA